UGCUGGAAUUAAAGGCAUGAGCCACCACACCCAGUUCAAGAAGGAAGAAAUCCACCAGAGACAAAAAAUAUGCUAAAAGACUUCAACUUAGGAGUUUGCUACACCUGCCAUCACACUGUUCACCAUUUCAUGGGGGAAAAAAGUGUGCUAGUAAUGCAGAGAAAAACAAACAUACCUAUUAGAAAGAUUGCAUCUGAAGAUGAUUUUCCAUAUUGCUGUUCUAUGUAUUUAGGCAUGAAGGAGAUCAUGUUAACGAAUGCAUUGAACUGUAUCACACUUAUAAGUAUGAAAAGCAUAUAAAUUGGAUUGCAGGAAAGACUUUUCAUGAAUGGUAGAAAAUCUGAAAUGAAAGAAUGACAACUGUGUCAAAUGAACUUGGCUUUGCAUUUUAUGACUGGCUUUUCCUGAAACAUCCACCUCCUCAACAAAUUAUGCUUUUUACUAUUUUGUAAUGUGUAUGUGUUUGUUAAUUCCUUUUUCCUCUUAAAAGCUGAAGUCAUAGAAAUGUUUGGUGGCUUCCGGAAGUCAGUGAUGUAGCUGACUGGGUAGGGAUCAGAACACAAUAGAUUUGCCCUCAAUAAGUCACUAUUGAGUCUUAAAGAUCAAUAAGCAAAACAACAAAGUGACCAAAAUAUUGUCUACGUCCACAGCAUUUUAUUUCUAAUCUUUUGUUCUUCUAUUAAUAUAUUAUAUUUUCUACAGCUCAUUAGAAUGAAAGAUGCUUGUUCUGUUCUGUAAUGUCUGCAGAAAAAUCAAGUUGAUAAAGAAGAUUUCACAUAAAUAUUUAUUUUAUCACUCCUUGAACAUUUGAAAUAAAGAUAUAUGUGGGAAUUAAUGAGAUAUGAAUGUUCUCAAGUAUCCAGAAUUUUUUUUUUUUUUUUUUGCUUCCUCAGAACAACAGUUUCAGUGGUUCUGCCAAUGGUUCUCAACAAGAUCUACCUGGAGAUAUUUUUUAAAAUACCAACAUCCAGGUCCCACCCUCAGCGAUGCUGAUUCAUUUGGUACAUUCUAAGGACUAUGUAAAUGAUUUAAUCAAAAAUUAUUCCUGUUAGAAAAAGCACAGAGCCAAAUGUGUGGCCUGCCUCUAGUAAUGUGUGCCCUGCCUCUAGUAAUGUGUGGCCUGCCUCUAGUAAUGUGUGACCUGCCUCUAGUAAUGUGUGGCCUGCCUCUAGUAAAUGUUCUUGGUCACACUGCUGCCAUUCAGGAUCAAGUUCUCACUUUUAAUUUCCUUUCACUUUUCCUGUCCACAUGUUCUCUGUCUUGACUUUCUUAUUUUGCACAAUCCUGGUUUGCUUAAUAAACUGCUCACAAUUCAUUCUGGAACAAAAUUUCAAUAAAUAAAUAAUUUAGAAGAGGAAGACACACAGAUUAAUGCAAACAAAUGAGUUAUAAUUAUAAAAUUUAUAUUUAUGAAUAGGGUACCUGACAGGAGAGAGAGUUACCGUCCGACUCUGAAGGUUUUUAAGUCACCCAUGUUUGUUGACAUCCCUGUCCUAAUAGAUGAGUUUCAGAAGCACAAGUUUGUUUUCUAUGUCUUGCAACAAGCUAAGCUCUUUCCUGAUUUUGAAAAUGGAACUGAUCUUGCAGACCACAAGAGGUCUAUCAGUCCAUAACAAUCCUUUAAGAAGAGUUUUUAAUAUCAUCAGAAUGAUUCUGAGAAUUUGCAAGAUUCUGAGUUGGCUCCUAAUGACCCAAGAUGUAUUAAAUUAUGCUCAAUUGUGAUUUAAGAGAAUUUAUAAUUGUUAAAAAAAUUUCCUUGCAAAUUGACAUUGUAACUUAUGGGUGAUGAUAGAAACAGCAACGGCAACAAUAAAAGUACUAACACUAGUAUCAGUAUUAAUAA